CGAUGAGUGGGGGGUAUGGUGUCUCAUUGUCCGGAUGCUGUGAUCUGAAAACAACAACAGUAACAACAACAAAAACUCAAGAAACAGGAAUGCAAGCUCUACAUUUUGUUAAACUAAGGACAUUUCUUACUCGUAACAAUCAGAUAUAAAAAAGUGCUGCCACAGGGGCAAGAAUGAUGCUCAGAAGGUCUUUAAUGGCUACAAAUCUUGGAUUAAGCUGACUGAGCAGUUCUUACACCGAGAAGCAAAACAACAACCUUUUGUUUCAAGAAACAGUUUCCCUUGGAAUCCAGUCACCAUGCUGUGAGGAAAUCAAAGCCAAAGGGAAGUUUCACAUGAAGAGCAAUCAAGUCGUUUAGCCCUCAGCCUGAUGACCACCCUACUGACUGCUGCCCGUAGAUUAUAUUGCCACCAUGGAAGAGGAGGAGCUGGAAGGAGAUUCUGAAGCCUUGGGACAAAGCUGGUGCUGCGGCAGUCAGAGCAGAGAGACAGAAUGAUGCCACUGAUUGCUGUGCUUUUGGAGACUGUUCUACUUCUGAAUUUCCAAUUCAGUGAAAUAAUGCCUGUCCUCAUUUAUUAGCCUUUUAGAGUUGGGUUUUCUGGUUUGCUUUGUUUAAAGUAUUCAAAAUGGCACAUACUUCUACUUAGCUUUAAUGUUUCUUCUUUUUAUUUAUCUUAGGCUCUGCUGCUGUCCUGUCCAUAAGGUUAUUUGUUGGUAAAAUAUUAAACUACAGGAAACAUAACAGCCUCAGAAAAGCAUGACUCAACAUGAGCCUGGGACAACUCAGGGUCUCUCUACUGUGCACAGCAUUUGUUCUGCUUUCAAGGCUCCCCACAGCAUCUGAAGCUUUACAUCCCUGGAGGCAACUGCCCAUAUGUUUACCUUUAUUACCAACUGCAGUUUCCAGGCAUCUGCUAAAUUACAAUUUUGAGUGCUUAAUGGUGAUUUCAUUUGUGUAAAAAAAAAGCGGGGAGACUCUUUGCCCCUCAUUAACUUAGAAUGGCAUUGCACCACACCGUAGAGCUGGCAUAUAGGUAUAUUGAAAGAAGUGGGUAGAGCUAAGAGGAUUAGAAGCUUAUGUGUGCCGUGAGGAGGUAAGAAUCAGGUUGUGUUCAUGUGUGUUUAUGUCCUUUCUUGGAACAAUAAAGUAAACAGAUUUUCUCCUCUGAGAGAAAGAAAGUUUCAAUAAUAUAGAAAUAGCUUUGCCCCUAUCUAGGGCCCUUAUGUCUUUUUAACCCCAAGGGGCAUAUCACAGAGUGUAUAGGAGAAUAUGGCAAUAUAUCAAAGGCGAUAAAGGCCACAGAGCUACAGAUGUUCCCCCAUCCUAUGCAAGCUGCUUCUCUAUAGAGCCUUCCAUUCUGCAAAGCUUCCAGCUUGUUCUGUCAUAGCACCUGAUUAGACAGCCGUGCCUCCAACACUCUUGGCUGUCCUUUCUUUCCUUGGUUAACUUCUCUUGUCAGUGCAGUUGAGUUAUCAACAUGGUAUAAGUGUUACAUCAAUACCAUUUCAGAAAUAAAACACUAGCCAUGCAAAGGCUGAAGCAAAUUGUUUUCCAACUAAAUGCUGGCAGCCUGCUCUUAUAGAUUAAGACCAGGUUUCUCCACAAAGCACUGAAGCAGCAAAUUUAAAAGGAGGCAAAUAGAACAUAGACUAUAUAGCAACAGAGAUAAAACAGUUCAUUACCUAGCUAAUGUUUGCAUUUUUCUGCUUUAGAGCAUGUAAAAAAUUAGAGAUAACAAAAUGACACUUAAUAGACGCUGGACAUGUAGAGGGAAAUGUAGCUUUUAAAGACAUUUUUCUUCUAUUCCUGGCAAAAGUAAGCGAGGGAAAGGUGAAUGUAGCAGGUACAAAUCACACAGGCAGAAAAUACAGAGGAAAGACCUAAAGCCUAACUCAAUUCUAUGGAUUUUAAUUAUGGAAAUCUGGCCAAGUCACUCCCCUCCUUGCAGGGAUUGUUAUUACUUUAUUAUGAAAAAAUUGAAACAGUUGUCUUCUCUACUGCACAGGGUUGUGGCAAAAACAAAAUGGCAUUGUGAAUGUAAAAGUUCAUUAAAAACUCUAAAAUGUGAUAGCAUAAUGUAAACCACUUUUUUUUUUUUUUUUUUUCCAAAACGGAGUCUCGCUCUGUCGCCCAGGCUGGAGUGCAGUGGCGCGAUUUCGGCUCACUGCAAGCUCCGCCUCCCAGGUUUACGCCAUUCUCCUGCCUCAGCCUCCCGAGUAGCUGGGACUACAGGCGCCCGCCACCAUGCCAGGCUAAUUUUUUGUAUUUUUUAGUAGAGACGGGGGUUUCACCAUGUUAGCCAGGAUGGUCUCGAUCUCCUGACCUCGUGAUCCGCCUGCCUCGGCUUCCCAAAGUGCUGGGAUUACAGGCGUGAGCCACCGUGCCCGGCCAAACCACUUUUUUUUUUUUUUUUUUUUUUUUACAUAAAGAUGCAUUACAAUUGAGUUUUCAAUCUCAUGACACAAGAGUCACAAAGACACAGAACAUUUAGCUGACACUGAGAUAGUUAUGAUUCACAAAGACAUUUUAGAAACUAUUGAAUUCAUCUACAGCUACAGUCCAUACAGCUCUCUGCCAGGGAGUUUUUCUGCCUGCAUUUGGACAUGUACUGUGACAGAGAGUUCAGCAUUUAUUUGUUUGAGUCCAACCUCUCCUCUCUGCAGUGAGCUGGAUCAUGCCAUGCAUAAAGCAUGGGGUCUUCUAAGAAAAGGGCGCAAGUCCUUGCUUUGCCACUUAAUAUUUUUCUAAUACCGAGCAAGUUACUCUCAGAUACCACUGCCUCAUUUAUAAAAGUUUGAUAAUAAUGCUACACAUGUCAAAGGGUUAUCAUAGGGUUAGAAAAGUCCAUUUCAGAUGCUAGUUAUUAUUUUGAAGUGAGAAUUCAUUGUAUCUUAAGAAAUAUGUUAUAUUUGUUGACUGAACACAGGCAGCAAUAACAGAGUGCUAUAGAUAAUAUGUGUCAUUCAUAUUCAAAUACCUCUCAUAAAUGUUAUCUUUUAGAAAAUAUGUUAUUAGCCCUCAGAAAUAAUAAAGGAUUACACAUGAACUCUGGAUCCCCUCAACACAGCUUAAUAAAAAGCCACUGUGCUUUUUCUUUUAAAACAGAAAAAGAAACGUGUUUGGAUAUCAAUGAUCUUCAGUAACUCAUAGAAUAGAGCAUAGGCUGGGCCUGUGUAAUGGCUCAGGCCUGUAAUCCCAGCUCUUUGGGAGGCUGAGGCAGGAGGAUGGCUUGAGCCCAGGAGUUCAAGACCAGCUGGGUCAACAAAGUAAGACCUCGUCUCAACAAAAAAAUUAAAAAGUUAGCCAGAUGUAGUGGUGUGUGCCUGUGGUCCCAUCUACUAGGGAGGUGAGGUAGGAGGAUCGCUCAGGCCUGCAGUGAGCCGUGAUUGCACUACUGCACUCCAGCUUAGGUGACAGAGACAGCCCCUGUCUCAAAAAAAAAAAAGAAUAGAACAUUGGCUAGUAAUCUAAUCGGUGCUAAAGGCAUUUGGCAUUACCAGGCACCAGGCACAGGCUGGAGUAAGACAAAAUUGUCAUGUUUUGACAUGUCAUGAGACAAAAUUUAUCCUUGCCAUUUUCUAGGCUCUUGCCUUUCUCCUGAUUUUCCCUGCAUAGGUCAGACUCCUCACCUUCCCACUGCAUUUUCUUCACUCUUCUUAGAAAAGGGGAUUCUCUUGUUCUUCAUUAGGUGCUUCAACUGAUUUAAUGAGCAUCAACUAAUUUCACUUGUUUGUGUUUGGGUCAUUCACUUUUCAAAGUGUUCAUUCAGUUACUUCAUCCAUAAAAUGGUGACAAUGACAUCACAGCUUUGUUUAAUAAUUAAAUAAGACAAUCUGUGUAAAGCAUUUAUCAUAUUGUCCCACACAUAGUAAAGUUCAAUGAUUUCAUAGAUAUAAUUACAAUAUCAUAAUUAAGAUAAAGUUUUACAUUAUACUUUCAAAAGUUAGAUUUCCAAAUAGAAAUAGCUUGAGAGCUGGAAUGACUGUAUUUGAAACUCAGAUUUAUCAGUUACUAGUUGUGUGGCAUUAGGCACUGUUUCAACCUUGAUUUUCAGUUUUUAUAUGAUGGGAAAUAUAGUUAAUCAUUUAACUACUGCUAUUGUGAGGAUUAGGUGGGAAAGCCCUGGUCAAAGACUUGGCACUGAAAACAUUCAUAGUAAAUAAAUAUUAGCUAUUUGUUAUUAUUGUAGUAGUUUAGGAACAAUUUCAUAUUAUGCUUUUUAAAAAAUGCAUACAAUGGGGAAUGUUGGUUUUCUAUUUUGCCUGUUACUAAAAGUUCAUGCAAAUAAUAAUGUCCAGAAGUUUAGGGGAAAGAAUAUUUCCACAAGAACGAAGAGAGAGAUUUCACUAAUUGUAACUAAGCUUUGUUCUUCCCGACCCUCUAUUUCUGCUUCCAGAAGCUGAGACUCAGGUUAGCAUCUCACUGUAUUUCUGUGAGGAGGAGAUAUUGGUGCAAGAUCUCAAGCAGACAAGCAAAAUCCAUCCCUAUCCAACAACUCCUACCUAUUGAGCAAAUGAUUUAAAAAGUGGUUACUGUGCCAUCAGAAAAACUGUUGGGGAUUGAUGUGUCUCUUUUUGUUGAACUGGCUGAGUAGAUAAGUACACAGAAUAACUUAUACCAUCACUUUAUAUUUACGCUUACCUAAUAUGAUAUUGUUAUAGCUGUCUUGUGAAAUCAAGUUGUUUUCAGCUUGCUUCUGUCAUUCUUCCUUCUUCUUUGUGAUUAAAUAGAAACAAAUGAUGUAAAAUAUGUGCUGUUUUCUUUACUCUUCCUAACUUAUGUAGGUGGGAUGGGUAGCCUUUAUUAUCUUGGCAAACAUAGUGCAGGGAUAACUUGCAUUGUUGAAUUGAGUAGUAUAAUAGUGACAAUGCUAAAAACUCAGUGAUAGUUCAGGACUAACCACUGAAUAUUUGUUAUACAAUAUCUCAAAGUUCUCAGCUGGAUUAUGACAUUAUUUUAUUUAAAAUUUUCUAAUAUUUAAUAUGUCUUUUUUCUACAUUAUUUAAAUUGUUUUUGUAUUCUUUUUUGGUUUUAAAACAUAAUGAAUAAGAACAUAAAAUAAAACAUACAAAAAGAUUUAACUGCUUAAACAUAAUGCAAAUUUGAGACAUAUUCAUGUAAUUGAUGGUCUCUAAGCAAGUAAUAGUUGAUUAAAUUGUUUGUAAUUUGUAGAAAAAUAAAUGCACCAAAAUGUUUGUAUGCUAUAUAUUGAAAUAUUAUUUUAUUAUUUCAUUCAUGCUUAUUCAUUGAAGACUAGGAGUGAUAUC
rnacentral:lncRNA from 1 species